rnacentral:rRNA from 1 species
GAUGAACGCUGGCGGCGUGCCUAAUACAUGCAAGUCGAGCGAACAGACGAGGAGCUUGCUCCUCUGACGUUAGCGGCGGACGGGUGAGUAACACGUGGGUAACCUACCUAUAAGACUGGGAUAACUUCGGGAAACCGGAGCUAAUACCGGAUAAUAUAUUGAACCGCAUGGUUCAAUAGUGAAAGACGGUUUUGCUGUCACUUAUAGAUGGAUCCGCGCCGCAUUAGCUAGUUGGUAAGGUAACGGCUUACCAAGGCAACGAUGCGUAGCCGACCUGAGAGGGUGAUCGGCCACACUGGAACUGAGACACGGUCCAGACUCCUACGGGAGGCAGCAGUAGGGAAUCUUCCGCAAUGGGCGAAAGCCUGACGGAGCAACGCCGCGUGAAUGAUGAAGGUCUUCGGAUCGUAAAACUCUGUUAUUAGGGAAGAACAAAUGUGUAAGUAACUAUGCACGUCUUGACGGUACCUAAUCAGAAAGCCACGGCUAACUACGUG